rnacentral:rRNA from 1 species
UACGUAGGGUGCGAGCGUUGUCCGGAAUUAUUGGGCGUAAAGGGCUCGUAGGCGGUCUGUCACGUCGGGAGUGAAAACACGGGGCUUAACCCCGUGCCUGCUUCCGAUACGGGCAGACUAGAGGUAUGCAGGGGAGAACGGAAUUCCUGGUGUAGCGGUGAAAUGCGCAGAUAUCAGGAGGAACACCGGUGGCGAAGGCGGUUCUCUGGGCCGUUACUGACGCUGAGGAGCGAAGCGUGGGGAGCGAACAGG